GCUCGACAAUUCUCAGGCUCGUUAACCACCACCACUAGUCGAUAACCCAAGAACACAGGAGGAGAUCAAUGGGUCCCAAUCACUCCUCAGUACAGCCACCAAAGCUCGACGACACCACAAAAUUUCAGUGAACUGUGACUUCUAAGGCGGUUUUCAUGGUCCUCCUGCUAUUUUCAAGCUUCGGCAAGGUGUAGACCGACUGUUGGAUCUCUAGCUAUGAAAUCAUAAUAUGUAGUUGUGUAAGUAAUGUGAUGCCCUUAUGAUUUACGAAUAAAAAUCGAAUUUACGAAAUCUCCGGAUUAAUAUAAUUACGAUUGUAGACCUUAGCAGGGGCCACUUUGACCAUGUAUUGAAUUUUGGUUAACAUGUUCCUAUCAUUCUUGGAUAUUGAAGUUACCAUUAUUAGAA